CAACAAACUCUUCGCCAUAGCCUCUUCCGCUUUUCACAACAAGAAAGAGAUGCAUAUGAGAGGAAGAGAGCCUCCCCCAAGCUCUGUCUAGGCGAUGCACGGGAAAUUUGGAAACUAUCAAGGAGAUGUCGAAUGAUGAAUAUACUCAGACACUGAGACACAUUCUAAAACAUGUUUACGCCGGUGAUGGGGCUGCCGCCAACUUGGGCCCGCUCAAGAAUGGCCACUCUACAGGAGGGGGAUGGAGUCGCGGAAGCUCCUGUGCUAUUGGGAGCGACGGUUCCACAAUGAGCCGGUCUUUCGUCACCUCUGAGUUGGAGGAUGUCCAAGGCCGGAAGUGUUCGUCACCAC